ACGUGUCUUGACCCCAUUUUCUUCAAUUACAUAUUCUUCAUCUUUACAACUAAGUAACUAACAUACGCAUUCUCUUUCUCUUCUUUCUCUAUCUCUCUCUCUCUCUCCAUAGAUAUAUAAAUCGCACCUUACUUAUCUAACAACAGUCCUCUUCACCUAAUCAUUUUUUUUUUUCAAUAAAGCAGUCACCUAUUAAUUUUAAUCAAUCACCAUUAUGACAAUUAUCAUUAGCUUAAUCCUCUUCUUGUUAACCUCUCUUUUGGUGAACUCAGAAUCCUCCAUUAGCAGAGCUGAUUUCCCCAUUGGCUUCACCUUUGGAACUGCCUCUUCAGCUUAUCAGUUUGAAGGUGCUGCAAAUGAAGGAAACAAAGGAGCUAGCAUAUGGGAUACCUUUACAAGGCAACCAGGAAGAAUAUUGGACUUUAGCAAUGCAGAUACAGCUGUUGAUCAAUAUCACCGGUUUAAGGGUGACAUAGAUUUGAUGAAGGAUUUAGGAAUGGAUGCCUAUAGAUUCUCAAUAUCUUGGCCAAGGAUUUUUCCAAAUGGAACAGGGGAACCUAAUCAAGAAGGAAUAGAUUACUACAACAGUCUUAUAGAUGCCUUAAUAGAAAAAGGAAUCCAACCUUAUGUGACUCUGUAUCAUUGGGACCUUCCACAAACUCUUGAAGAUAAAUAUGAAGGAUGGUUGAACAAACAAAUAGUAAAGGACUUCGAAUAUUAUACCUUCACUUGCUUCCAAGCUUUUGGAGAUAGAGUAAAAAAUUGGAUAACCUUCAAUGAACCUCAUGGUUUCGCCAUUCAAGGUUAUGAUACCGGUAUUCAAGCUCCCGGAAGGUGCUCGAUUCUCGGUCAUUUGCUUUGUAAGACCGGAAAUUCAUCGGCUGAACCAUAUAUUGUAGCUCACAAUAUCCUCUUGUCACAUGCUGCUGCUUAUCAUUGCUAUCAGUUGCAUUUCAAGGCAACUCAACGAGGUCAAAUUGGAAUAGCAUUAGAUUCCAAGUGGUAUGAACCAAUAUCUGAAGUAGGUGAGGAUAAAGAUGCAGCAAAUAGAGCAAUGGAUUUUGCAAUUGGAUGGUUCCUCGAUCCACUUUUCUUUGGAAAAUAUCCUGCUUCAAUGGAAAAGCUUGUCGGGGAAAGACUCCCUGAGAUCACUUCAAAAAUGUCAAAACUGUUAUCAGGAUCAUUAGACUUCGUUGGACUUAAUCAUUACACGACAUUGUAUGUUCGAAACGACAGGACUCGUAUUAGGAAACUAAUACUACAGGAUGCUUCUUCUGAUGCUGGUGUAAUCACAACAUCUUAUCGACGUGGAGUUGCAAUCGGAGAACGAGCAGCUUCCCGGUGGCUGCACAUUGUCCCGUGGGGAAUUCGAAAAUUGGUUAAUUAUGUGAAAGAUAAGUACAGGAAUCCACCGGUUAUUAUAACAGAAAAUGAAUUUCAGGUAUGGAUGAUCCAAACACACCAUUUAUGUCUUUAAACAAGGCCUUACAGGAUGAUAAGAGAAUAGAAUACCAUAGAGACUACCUGUCAAACCUGUCUGCAGCCAUAAGGCAAGAUGAAUGUGAUGUUCGAGGUUAUUUUGUGUGGUCUGUGCUCGAUAAUUGGGAAUGGAACUCAGGCUACACCGUCCGAUUCGGACUUUACUAUGUUGACUACAGGAAUAAUCUUACAAGAAUACCAAAAGCUUCUGCUCAUUGGUUUAAAAGUAUACUCAGAUUAAACAGUGAUAUGUAAGGUCAAUUUCCAACUUUCAAGUGCAUAUAGGUGUUGUAAGUUACGUAUCAUUAACCACAACUAAGCCUUAAUCCCCCGUUAGUCGGGAUCGGCUAUAAGAAUCAUUUACUUCCAUUCUUCUCAUACGUUCAUAGCUAAGUUUGCAAUGAUGUAAAUUAUUUGUAAUGUAUAUAAAUAUUAAUUAGUAUUAAGGAGCAAAGAAAAAAAAUUGUAACAUGCAUAGAAAAUUGGAAAGGAAAUUGAAGAAGAAAUGAGACAAAUACCAUUGAUUGCUUUGUUUCUGUU